GGAUGUGAGGGCGAUCUGGCUGCGACAUCUGUCACCCCAUUGAUCGCCAGGGUUGAUUCGGCUGAUCUGGCUGGCUAGGCCUUCCUCUUCCUCCCUCAGCGCUCCACGUGCGUCCCUCCCGAAGCUGCAUGCUUAGUCAAAAAGGACGACCACCCCCGACAGAGGAGGAGCAUUCCUUGGUCAAGGUUAUAUGAGUAGCUGCGCUCCCUUCCUAGAACCUCCAAAGAAGCUCUCAGAAUGUGUAUUGCCUCUCCCAAGCUUUAACUCCUCAUGACAACAAACACAAUGCGUAGAACUUGACAUAAUGU
rnacentral:snRNA from 1 species